rnacentral:rRNA from 1 species
CCUACGGGUGGCAGCAGUGAGGAAUAUUGGUCAAUGGCCGGAAGGCUGAACCAGCCAAGCCGCGUGAGGGAGGAAGGCGCAGAGCGUCGCAGACCUCUUUUGCCGGGGGACAAAAGGCCGGACUCGUCCGGUCCUGAGGGUACCCGGAGAAAAAGCAUCAGCUAACUCCGUACCAGCAGCCGCGGUAAUCCGGAGGAUGCGAGCGUUAUCCGGAUUCAGUGGGUUUAAAGGGUUCGCAGGCGGGCCUUUAAGCCGGCGGUGAAAGAGCGGGGCUCAACCCCGCCGGUCCGUCGGAACUGGGGGCCGUGAGUGCGGCGGAGGCAUGCGGACUGCGCGGUGUAGCGGUGAAAUGCAUAGAUAUCGCGCAGACCCCGAUUGCGAAGGCAGCGUGCCGUGCCGCAACUGACGCUGAGGCACGAAAGCGCGGGGAUCGAACAGGAUUAGAUACCCGAGUAC